rnacentral:rRNA from 1 species
UGGGGAAUCUUCCGCAAUGGACGAAAGUCUGACGGAGCAACGCCGCGUGAGUGAUGACGGCCUUCGGGUUGUAAAGCUCUGUUAAUCGGGACGAAAGGCCUUCUUGCGAAUAGUGAGAAGGAUUGACGGUACCGGAAUAGAAAGCCACGGCUAACUACGUGCCAGCAGCCGCGGUAAUACGUAGGUGGCAAGCGUUGUCCGGAAUUAUUGGGCGUAAAGCGCGCGCAGGCGGAUCAGUCAGUCUGUCUUAAAAGUUCGGGGCUUAACCCCGUGAGGGGAUGGAAACUGCUGAUCUAGAGUAUCGGAGAGGAAAGUGGAAUUCCUAGUGUAGCGGUGAAAUGCGUAGAUAUUAGGAAGAACACCAGUGGCGAAGGCGACUUUCUGGACGAAAACUGACGCUGAGGCGCGAAAGCCAGGGGAGCGAACGGGAUUAGAUACCCCGGUAGUCCUGGCCGUAAACGAUGGGUACUAGGUGUAGGAGGUAUCGACCCCUUCUGUGCCGGAGUUAACGCAAUAAGUACCCCGCCUGGGGAGUACGACCGCAAGGUUG